rnacentral:lncRNA from 1 species
GCCGCUCAGCUCGAAGCGCCCCAGCAGGUUGUUGUCGCGCGUCAUGGCCCUCUCGCCCUCGUACACCUGGAUCAGCACCCCGGGCUGGUUGUCCGAGUAGGUGGUGAAGGUCUGCGUCUGCUUGGUGGGGAUGGUGGAGUUGCGCUUGAUGAGCGCCGUCAUCACGCCGCCCGCAGUCUCCAGGCCCAGCGACAGCGGCGCCACGUCCAGCAGCAGCAGGUCCUGCACGUUCUCCGACUUGUCCCCCAUCAGGAUGGCCGCCUGCACCGCCGCCCCGUAGGCCACCGCCUCGUCCGGGUUGAUGCUCUUGUUCAGGUCGCGCCCGUUGAAGAAGUCCUGCAGCAGCUUCUGCACCUUGGGGAUGCGCGUCGAGCCGCCCACCAGCACCAGGUCGUGGAUCUGCGCCUUGUCCAUCUUGGCGUCGCGCAGGGCCUUCUCCACGGGCUCCAGCGUGCCGCGGAACAGGUCCGAGCACAGCUCUUCGAACCGCGCCCGCGUGAUGGAUGUGUAGAAGUCGAUGCCCUCGAACAGAGAGUCGAUCUCCAGGCUGGCCUGGGUGCUGGACGACAGCGUCCUCUUGGCCCUCUCACACGCCGUGCGCAGCCGCCGCACCGCGCGCUUGUUCUGGCUGAUGUCCUUCUUGUGCUUCCUCUUGAACUCCUCCACGAAGUGGCUCACCAGCCGGUUGUCGAAGUCCUCCCCUCCCAGGUGCGUGUCGCCCGCCGUGGCCUUCACCUCGAAGAUGCCGUCGUCGAUCGUCAGGAUGGACACGUCGAACGUGCCGCCCCCCAGGUCGAAGAUGAGCACGUUGCGCUCGCCCUUGCCGGUCCGGUCCAGCCCGUAGGCGAUGGCGGCCGCCGUGGGCUCGUUGAUGAUCCGCAGCACGUUUAGACCGGCGAUCACGCCCGCGUCCUUGGUGGCCUGCCGCUGAGAGUCGUUGAAGUAGGCGGGCACCGUGAUCACCGCGUUGGUCACCGGGUGGCCCAGGUACGCCUCAGCGAUCUCCUUCAUCUUCGUCAGCACCAUGGACGAGAUCUCCUCCGGGAAGAACGACCGGCUCUCGCCCUUGUAGUUCACCUGCACCUUGGGCUUGUCGCCGUCGUUCACCACCUGGAAGGGCCAGUGCUUCAUGUCGGACUGCACCACCGCAUCGCCGAACUUGCGGCCGAUCAGCCGCUUCGCGUCGAACACGGUGUUCUGCGGGUUCAGCGCCACCUGGUUCUUGGCGGCGUCCCCGAUGAGGCGCUCGGUGUCGGUGAAGGCCACGUAGCUGGGGGUCGUGCGGUUGCCCUGGUCGUUGGCGAUGAUCUCCACCUUGCCGUGCUGGAACACGCCCACGCACGAGUAGGUGGUGCCCAGGUCGAUGCCGAUCGCCGUGUUCUUGGCCAUGGCGCCGCGCUCUGCUUCUGGAAGGCUGCGCUCCGCGGCGUGGAUGCUCCGGGGAAAGUUGCGCUCCGCGGCAGGGAUGCUCCUGGGAAGGUUGCGCUCCGCGGCGUGGAUGCUCUGGGGAAGGCUGGUCCUGGCCGAGGAUCGGGAACGCGCCGCUCGCUCUGCUUCUCUUGUCUUCGCUUGUCUCUGGAUGGAACCAGAUUUGAUUCUGAGUAGCUGUCAGCGUCUGGUGCCCUGCUCGCCGCCCUGCGCCUUUAAGGAGUCUUCACCGGCCCCGCCCACUCUCCGCUGGGCCAAUCAGCGAGCCGGAGGAGGCCUUGGGGCCAGGAAUCUUCCAGCAGUUUCGCGUCUGGUGGAGCUUCCCCGCCUCCCUUGAGUAAUCGGAGUUGUGGGUUCCGCCCUUGUCCAGAACUCUCCAGAGGUUUCUGGGGUUCGCUAGAGAGUACGGAUUCCUGAGGGGGAGGGUGUGGGGAAGUGCUGGUGCUGCUAUUGACACUGUUGCGGAGGCGACGCAACUUCGGGGUCCCUGUGGGUGAAGCUGUUAAGGGUCAGCUCCUGAAGGUGCUGGGUGGUGAGAGUGUGGGACUCAGACCAGGGAGGGAGUUUAAAGUGUACAAAUCCUUCCUACAGGAUGGCGGACGCAGAAAGUUUCUCAAGAGAGGCGGGAUAAGGCUUGGCUAAAAAGUCUGUGAUUGGGUCCUGGUUUGAGUGACAGCGUUGGGCAGGGGCGCCUGUGGAAUGCUUGCUUGUCCAUGUCUCCCCCUCCCUCUUCAUUUUAGGUUUGAAUAGGGAAAUAGAAGAGAUCUUGCAGU